AUGUGGUGGUGUUGUGGUUCUUACAAGUUACAGCAGCGGCAGGGACUGUGUGGCCGAGUUUCAGUUGGGGGGCGACAGAAGAACUACAUCCCCCUGGACCAGCUGUUUAGAUUCGAGACCCGAGGGGUCGCAGCUGAGGUUGGGGAGGAUGGCUUCAUGACGAGUCAAUAUCACCCCACCUCCUCACAUCCUCCUCUGGAAGCAGAGCCUGCAGCUACCCAAACAAGGUUCUGGAGAGUUCUCCCAUGAGCAGCUGGCCCUUGCUGGAAGACAAUAAAUGGUCUCUACUGUCUCUCA
rnacentral:lncRNA from 1 species